GCUGGGCACGGUGGUGCAUGCCUGUAAUCCCAGAAACUUUGGAGGCUGAGGCAGGAGGAUCACAGGUGUAAAGCCAACUUCAGUAACUUAGUGAGGCCCCAAGCAAUUUAGUGAUACCCUGUCCU
rnacentral:sRNA from 1 species